rnacentral:rRNA from 1 species
GAUGAACGCUGGCGGCGUGCCUAAUACAUGCAAGUCGAGCGAACAGACGAGGAGCUUGCUCCUCUGACGUUAGCGGCGGACGGGUGAGUAACACGUGGAUAACCUACCUAUAAGACUGGGAUAACUUCGGGAAACCGGAGCUAAUACCGGAUAAUAUAUUGAACCGCAUGGUUCAAUAGUGAAAGACGGUUUUGCUGUCACUAAUAGAUGGAUCCGCGCCGCAUUAGCUAGUUGGUAAGGUAACGGCUUACCAAGGCAACCAUGCGUAGCCGACCUGAGAGGGUGAUCGGCCACACUGGAACUGAGACACGGUCCAGGCUCCUACGGGAGGCAGCAGUAGGGAAUCUUCCGCAAUGGGCGAAAGCCUGACGGAGCAACGCCGCGUGAGUGAUGAAGGUCUUCGGAUCGUAAAACUCUGUUAUUAGGGAAGAACAAAUGUGUAAGUAACUAUGCACGUCUUGACGGUACCUAAUCAGAAAGCCACGGCUAACUACGUG